rnacentral:rRNA from 1 species
UACGAAGGGGGCUAGCGUUGCUCGGAAUCACUGGGCGUAAAGCGCACGUAGGCGGAUUGCUAAGUCAGGGGUGAAAUCCUGGAGCUCAACUCCAGAACUGCCUUUGAUACUGGCGAUCUUGAGUCCGGGAGAGGUGAGUGGAACUGCGAGUGUAGAGGUGAAAUUCGUAGAUAUACGCAAGAACACCAGUGGCGAAGGCGGCUCACUGGCCCGGUACUGACGCUGAGGUGCGAAAGCGUGGGGAGCAAACAGG